GUAGUCUCAGUUCGGAUUGAAGGCUGAAAUUCGCCUUCAUGAAGCCGGAAUUGCUAGUAAUGGCAGGUCAGCAUACUGCCGUGAAUACGUUCCCGGGCCUUGUACACACCGCCCGUCACACCAUGAGAGUUGGGAAUACCCGAAGCCUGUGAGCUAACUAUACGAGGCAGCAGUCGAAGGUAGAAUCAAUGAUUGGGGUGAAGUCGUAACAAGGUAGC
rnacentral:rRNA from 1 species